rnacentral:misc_RNA from 1 species
CCACUUAACAGUGAUAUCAGGGUGUAGUGCUCACUCAGUGGGAGGCCAGCAACCUGCAGUCUGCUGCUGGGCACGGUUUCGGGCUCUUGGCGUUGGCAGACGUGCCCGCACUGGAACUUUGCCGAAAAGAUGUGCUGGCAUGGCCACACUUGUACCACCUCAGCACGAGUGGUGUCUGCGAUUCAACGAAUAUAAACAAGGAUAUUGAGCUCGCGAGACGGCAGCCGACGAUGCUUGCCCAGCUGCGCGCGUGCAGGUGUCUGUACGGUUGGUUCCUGCAGCGGCGGGUGACUGGAGGUGACCGCAUGAGGUGCCGAUGGUGUGCCGCCUACUACACCGCUGGCACCGUGGGGGUACCCCUGCGCCUCCUGGUGACAUGAACGGAACUGCCAGAUGGAGACAGCGAGCCACCCGGGCAGCAGCGUUGCCCUGAGGCAGGCCCCGGCCCCGAAAACGCGCGCCCCGCGCGCACGCGCUGCGAAUGGCCGCUGGCACGGUGUAUCCCGCCCAAGCAAGGCAUGGAGCGGUGAGCAGGGCGCGGGCGACGGUGGAGAGGGGCGCGCAGAGAUGCACAGUGAUGAGCCCCAAAGUGCAUGUGUGGGGAACGUGCGGCAUCUCCUGCAUCGGACCUGGUGGGCUGAUGUGGCGCAGAUGCCGGAAGCAUGAGGGGGCCACCCCGGGCUGCACCGUCGAGCCCCCGCAGACUCCGAUGUGGAGAGUCGCCGCACCACAUUGAGGAAUGCCGCGGCCUGAGGGGACGGAGGGAGAGGCAUGACACACAGGCAGAGUGUGCGGGGCCUCCGAGGGCCCUCGCCUGCAGCUGGGCAACCGCCUCCCUGAGCUCAUCCGGCACGCGCCUAGGCCCGCCCCUAAUUACCCGCGCGCCAGACGCCAGGGUGUUCCGCCCCUCGAGCAGGACCCCGGAGGUGGCCUGCUUGGAUCAAGGCAUGCAGUCCAGCCGGGUCCGCCUGGCGCCGAUCGCGCAGCACGUAUCCGAGGAAGGACGAGAGGUGCACGCUAGAAGCACGGCCCAAUGCAGCGGCAGGACGGCUCGUCCCAGACGAGCAGGGCUGAGCCAUGGCGCAGCAGAGGUAGGAGAACUGCGAUUGCGUGUGUGCGCAUAGUUGUUGACUUGCUCGUGGCAGAAUGGCCACGCGGACAAAAAAUCUCUCAAGCUUUUUCUCUCACUGCCGCUGAUGCCACGAGUGUCUUUCGUUUGUGGAUGAAGGGAUGCAUGGCCACAGUCUCGCACAGAAGCAUGCUUGUUGUUUUUUAUGGGCCCUCCUUAGCAGGCAAGGAUGCGCAGAGAAACGCAGAAGUGGCUGCGGAAUUCGCGUGUAUGCGCUCCUGUACACUCGCACAUCUUUUUGCUGUUCUUCAUCACUUGCGUGCGGUUGCGUCUUGUCGUGUUUCGGACUUCUUUUCUACUUCCCAUCGGUGGUUGUGUCUUUUUUCGCGUUCUUGUCACUUCUUCGUUGAAUGUGCGUCUGCGUCUGCGUCUCUCUCUGUGUGUUGUCGACACACGCGGUUGUUGUGGCUGUGCGUCUCUCUCGCUUACUUCUCCUCUUCUUUCCUUCUUCUGCCCCGCUCUUCUCCUUUUUCGUUUAACUUCUCAAAGGUGAGAGAGAGAGAGGGGGGAUGAGGAGGAGAGGUGGUCAGGGGUGCAGGCCAUCCUGCAAACGUUUAAUCUUCUCUACUGACAUAACUUUGCCUGUGUACGUGUGACAGUUGCUCUUGCUGGACUGUCUUUCUUUCUCACACGCACACACGUCGCCUCUCUUGUCGGGUGCUUGGCGUGCAGCCGACGCCUCGUCAUCUUUUUGGACCUUCGCGUGUCUGAUCCGCUCGUUCAUUUCUCUGUGUUUUGGCCCUGUUCGUUUUUUUGUUUCGUUUUUUUUUCACCUCCGUUUCCGUUUUUUUUUCCCCGCUCUUCUUUGCUACCCGUCUUCUUUUCUUGGUGAGUGUGUUGGGGCAUCGGUGUAUAUGCGCUUGCGCGUCUGCUCUCCCUCCAUCAUCAUGUGUCCCUGCCUCGGCCUCUCCCACUCUCCCCGUUCUUCUCGCCGAGGAAGGAUGGUGAUGCCAUUCAUCUCAAAUCUGCGCGUCGUUUUCCUUGCUAUUCUUCGUGUUUGUGCAAACUUAGCAAGCCCGUCAAACGCCGCGUCUCAUGUUUGUGGGGCCACCUAUGCAGAGCCUAGGGGACUGUUUCUCGCGUCUUUGUCUUGCCGAGUAGUAGGCAGCGCUGAUGCGCGUGUCGCGCAUCCGCACAUCACUGCGGCCGCCUUGCAAGCGCAUGAGCGGGCGCGCACCUCUUAAAGAAAGCGCCCUUCUUACGUGGCAGAACAAACAGUGAAGCUUGCAUUCCCCAUAAACGACGGAAAGGGACGAAAACAAGAGCAGCAUGGGGAUUCAGCACGCACGGAGACACCAGAGAGGGAGAGCGAUGUGUGCGCUAUCUCUCAUGCACCUUUCUGCCGCACGCGACUGCUUGGAGCCAAUGUGCCAUCGCCCUUCUCCCCCUCCAUAUGCGGCUUCUCUUUCGACCUUUGGCCGAGGUAGAUGAGGGGAGAGGCCAGCCUGUGCUUGUGUCUCGGUUUUUAGGAGAGGGAAGGGUAAUGUGGCUUCGCGCACCUGCUCACCACCUCUGCGUUAGCGGUACGCCUUUCCACUAUUGCAGUCGUGUCUGUGUCUCCGCCUCCACGGUACAGCUGGCAUUGCGUUCCACGUGCGCGGCUGCCUCGCCGCGGCCGACGCUCUUAGUGGUGCUCGCGCGUUUCACAUUACCUCUCGCUGCGGCUUUGCAUGUGGAGGCUUCGCCUUUUCUCAUCGCCGUCUCAUCCCUUGCUCUUUGCUUGUACGAGUGCCCGGCUUUAUGUUGCUUCAUGCCUUCUCGUUGGUGCGUUGUUGCCGCAUCACACACACACACACACACACACACGUACACGUGUGAGAACGCCAACAG